rnacentral:rRNA from 1 species
CCUACGGGAGGCUGCAGUGGGGAAUAUUGGACAAUGGGCGAAAGCCUGAUCCAGCCAUGCCGCGUGUGUGAAGAAGGCCUUCGGGUUGUAAAGCACUUUCAGUGGGGAAGAAAGCCUUGGGGCUAAUACCCUCGAGGAAGGACAUCACCCACAGAAGAAGCACCGGCAAACUCCGUGCCAGCAGCCGCGGUAAUACGGAGGGUGCGAGCGUUAAUCGGAAUUACUGGGCGUAAAGCGCGCGUAGGCGGUCUGAUAAGCCGGUUGUGAAAGCCCCGGGCUCAACCUGGGAACGGCAUCCGGAACUGUCAGGCUAGAGUGCAGGAGAGGAAGGUAGAAUUCCCGGUGUAGCGGUGAAAUGCGUAGAGAUCGGGAGGAAUACCAGUGGCGAAGGCGGCCUUCUGGACUGACACUGACGCUGAGGUGCGAAAGCGUGGGUAGCAGACAGGAUUAGAUACCCGAGUAGUC